UAAUUAAUUAAUGUAUACCCAAUCUACUAAUCUUACCAUCUUCUUCUCAUUCACUUGUAACCCAUUGUUUUUGCACUCCUUUCUACAUGAUAAUGGCAUCAACUACAUUGAUCACCAAGUUUGCUCACUUACAAAUCCCACUUGAAGACGUACUAAACGCCACCAACAACUUUCAUCAUGAUAAUAUCAUCGGACGCGGUGGAUUGGGACAUGUAUACAAAGGACACCUCCAGCGGUCCAGGGAGUUGAUCAAGAUUUCUGCGCUGAGGUUAGAUCGUAAGCACGGUGGAGGAGUCGUCGAGUUCUGGACAGAAGUUUCAAUGCUUUCUGAUCUCAAGCAUCCAAAUAUAGUCUCUAUGGUUGGAUUUUGCGAUGAGAAAGAUGAGAAGAUCAUUGUAACCAUGUAUGAGGCCAAAAAUGGAAGUCUAAAGGAGCAUCUAAACAGCCCGAACCUCACAUGGACGCAAAGAUUGAAGAUAUGUGUAGGCGUGGCUCGUGCGUUGAGUUACCUCCAUUUUGACCAGAGACGUGGUUAUGGUGUUAUACAUCUUAACAUCAACAGCUCCACAAUUUUAUUAGACGAGAACUGGGAACCCAAGUUAUCCGGUUUUAAAGUUUCCAUCAAAGAAUCACUUAACCGAAUGGACCAGGUCAUUCUUUCUGAACCUACUGGCACAAUAGGGUAUAUGGACCCAGAAAUUGAAAAGACGAAAGGGGUGACCCACAAGUCGGACAUCUACGCAUUUGGUGUGGUUUUAUUUGAAAUAUUGUGUGGGAGGAGAGCGUAUAUUAAGACAGGGGGGAAUAAGUAUCUAGCUGCAUUGGCCAAGUAUCAUUAUGAAAACCAAACACUUCCAGAUAUAAUCCACCCCUAUCUAAAGAAUCAAAUGUCUAAAAAUCAAAUAUCCUUAAGUUCACUCAGAAAAUGCUCAAAAACGGCAUAUUCUUGCUUAAAGGAAGAUCGAGCACAUCGCCCACACAUGCUCAGUGUUGUUGAUGAACUUCAAAAAGCAUUUGAGAAAGCAUUAAACUUUAAGCCGCGACCUGAAAAUUUUUUAAACAACUUGGAACACUUGAAGAUUCAGCUCGAUGACAUAAAGUUAGCCACCAAUAACUUUUCAGACACAUACAAAGAUUCUGAUAGCGAUGAUUACGAUGCUAGGUACACAGUAGAACUCAACCAUUUUGAUAACGGAAAACCUUCCUUUGUAGAAGAGAAGGGUAAAACUACACAACCCAAGAUACACAACACUGUACUAAUAAAACGCUUCCUUCCUCGAGAUGACGAGGACGAAGAAGAAUUAUUUUUUAGAGAACUUGAAGUGCUUAUUACCGUUAAGCAUCCCAACAUAGUCACUCUAAUAGGAUUUUGUGUUGAAGGUUUUGAAAUGAUGCUUAUCGUGGAAAAAUUUGCUAAUGGAUUCCUUAUGGAUUAUUUAGGAAACGUGUGUACGUUGACUUGGGAAACACGUUUAAAAAUAUGCAUUGAUGUUGCUCAUGCAUUGAGUUACAUUCACUCUGGGAUGGAAGACAAAAAAAUGAUAAUACGUGGAUCCAGAAUAUGUGAAUACUGGUAAGCUAAAAAGAGAGUCGGAUGGACGAGAACUGGCGGACAAAGAUUGAGGAUUUUGAGUGGGCAGUAAUCUUGCCCCCCAAUAUAAAAGAUGAAACUCCGUAUAAAAGAACAUAUUUUGAGUCAAAGUAUCACGUGGAUCCAGAAUAUGUGAAUACUGGUAAGCUAAAAAGAGAGUCGGAUGUGUAUAGCUUUGGUGUAGUUUUGCUUGAGAUUAUAUGUGGAAGAGUGGCUGAUGACCAUAUUUACCUUAAGGAGAGUGACAAAGGGCUUGUUCAUGUGGCUAGAAAAAACUUCCGCAAUGGAACAAUAGAAGGCAUGAUAGAUCCUACACUAAAGGAAGAAACCGAUAAAAAGAGUUGUAUUCCAAAUAGAGGAGCCAACAAGGAUUCUUUGCACAAAUUUCUAAAAGUUGCAAAUCAGUGUGUGUCAGAGACUCAAGACCAACGCCCAACAAUUAAAGCUGUUCUCAAUGAACUUGAGAAAGCAUUGGUCUUUCAGGAGGAGCAAGUGCAACAAUUGGGUAAGGAUCAAGUUGUCGACAAACUUGAGAAAGCAAGGCAUGAAAUUCCUGAGGAGCAAGUAAAACAAUUGGGUACGGAUCAAGUUGUCGACAAACUUGAGAAAGCAAGGCAUGAAAUUCCUGUAAGACACUAAGACCUUUCUAUUUUUUUUUACUUCAUUUUUUUGUUAGUGAAAUGUUUAUAAAAGAUGAAAUCUAUAAAUUGAAAUGCAUUAGAUAAAAUUUGAAUAUGAUAAAUUUGGAACAA